rnacentral:rRNA from 1 species
CUUAACACAUGCAAGUCGAGGGGCAUCAGGAAGAAAGCUUGCUUUCUUUGCUGGCGACCGGCGCACGGGUGAGUAACACGUAUCCAACCUGCCCUUUACUCGGGGAUAGCCUUUCGAAAGAAAGAUUAAUACCCGAUAGCAUAAUGAUUCCGCAUGGUUUCAUUAUUAAAGGAUUCCGGUAAAGGAUGGGGAUGCGUUCCAUUAGGUUGUUGGUGAGGUAACGGCCCACCAAGCCUUCGAUGGAUAGGGGUUCUGAGAGGAAGGUCCCCCACAUUGGAACUGAGACACGGUCCAAACUCCUACGGGAGGCAGCAGUGAGGAAUAUUGGUCAAUGGGCGCUAGCCUGAACCAGCCAAGUAGCGUGAAGGAUGAAGGCUCUAUGGGUCGUAAACUUCUUUUAUAUAAGAAUAAAGUGCAGUAUGUAUACUGUUUUGUAUGUAUUAUAUGAAUAAGGAUCGGCUAACUCCGUGCCAGCAGCCGCGGUAAUACGGAGGAUCCGAGCGUUAUCCGGAUUUAUUGGGUUUAAAGGGAGCGUAGGUGGACUGGUAAGUCAGUUGUGAAAGUUUGCGGCUCAACCGUAAAAUUGCAGUUGAUACUGUCAGUCUUGAGUACAGUAGAGGUGGGCGGAAUUCGUGGUGUAGCGGUGAAAUGCUUAGAUAUCACGAAGAACUCCGAUUGCGAAGGCAGCUCACUGGACUGCAACUGACACUGAUGCUCGAAAGUGUGGGUAUCAAACAGGAUUAGAUACCCUGGUAGUCCACACAGUAAACGAUGAAUACUCGCUGUUUGCGAUAUACAGUAAGCGGCCAAGCGAAAGCAUUAAGUAUUCCACCUGGGGAGUACGCCGGCAACGGUGAAACUCAAAGGAAUUGACGGGGGCCCGCACAAGCGGAGGAACAUGUGGUUUAAUUCGAUGAUACGCGAGGAACCUUACCCGGGCUUAAAUUGCAGUGGAAUGAUGUGGAAACAUGUCAGUGAGCAAUCACCGCUGUGAAGGUGCUGCAUGGUUGUCGUCAGCUCGUGCCGUGAGGUGUCGGCUUAAGUGCCAUAACGAGCGCAACCCUUAUCUUUAGUUACUAACAGGUUAUGCUGAGGACUCUAGAGAGACUGCCGUCGUAAGAUGUGAGGAAGGUGGGGAUGACGUCAAAUCAGCACGGCCCUUACGUCCGGGGCUACACACGUGUUACAAUGGGGGGUACAGAAGGCAGCUAGCGGGUGACCGUAUGCUAAUCCCAAAAUCCUCUCUCAGUUCGGAUCGAAGUCUGCAACCCGACUUCGUGAAGCUGGAUUCGCUAGUAAUCGCGCAUCAGCCACGGCGCGGUGAAUACGUUCCCGGGCCUUGUACACACCGCCCGUCAAGCCAUGGGAGCCGGGGGUACCUGAAGUACGUAACCGCAAGGAUCGUCCUAGGGUAAAACUGGUGACUGGGGC